UGGGGAAUUUUGGACAAUGGGGGAAACCCUGAUCCAGCCAUCCCGCGUGUGCGAUGAAGGCCUUCGGGUUGUAAAGCACUUUUGGCAGGAAAGAAACGUCGCGGGUUAAUACCCCGCGAAACUGACGGUACCUGCAGAAUAAGCACCGGCUAACUACGUGCCAGCAGCCGCGGUAAUACGUAGGGUGCAAGCGUUAAUCGGAAUUACUGGGCGUAAAGCGUGCGCAGGCGGUUCGGAAAGAAAGAUGUGAAAUCCCAGAGCUUAACUUUGGAACUGCAUUUUUAACUACCGGGCUAGAGUGUGUCAGAGGGAGGUGGAAUUCCGCGUGUAGCAGUGAAAUGCGUAGAUAUGCGGAGGAACACCGAUGGCGAAGGCAGCCUCCUGGGAUAACACUGACGCUCAUGCACGAAAGCGUGGGGAGCAAACAGGAUUAGAUACCCUGGUAGUCCACGCCCUAAAACGAUGUCAACUAGCUGUUGGGGCCUUCGGGCCUUGGUAGCGCAGCUAACGCGUGAAGUUGACCGCCUGGGGAGUACGGUCGCAAGAUUAAAACUC
rnacentral:rRNA from 1 species